rnacentral:rRNA from 1 species
AGAGUUUGAUCCUGGCUCAGGAUGAACGCUAGCGGCAGGCUUAACACAUGCAAGUCGAGGGGCAGCGGGGAGUAGCAAUACUCUGCCGGCGACCGGCAAAAGGGUGCGUAACGCGUGAGCAACUUGCCCGUAUCUGGGGGAUAACCGAUGGAAACGUCGCCUAAUACCCCGUAACAAGGGUUCCUGCAUGGGAGUCCUUUGAUAGCUCCGGCGGAUACGGAUGGGCUCGCGUGACAUUAGCUAGAUGGCGGGGUAACGGCCCACCAUGGCGACGAUGUCUAGGGGUUCUGAGAGGAAGAUCCCCCACACUGGAACUGAGACACGGUCCAGACUCCUACGGGAGGCAGCAGUGAGGAAUAUUGGACAAUGGAGGCAACUCUGAUCCAGCCAUGCCGCGUGAAGGACUAAGGCCCUACGGGUCGUAAACUUCUUUUGACGCAGGGCAAUAAGGCGUACGUGUACGCCGAUGAGAGUAUGCGUCGAAUAAGCAUCGGCUAACUCCGUGCCAGCAGCCGCGGUAAUACGGAGGAUGCAAGCGUUAUCCGGAUUUAUUGGGUUUAAAGGGUGCGUAGGCGGAUGAUUAAGUCAGUGGUGAAAGGUCCCGGCUCAACCGGGGAGCUGCCAUUGAUACUGGUCGUCUUGAAUGCGGAUGCCGUGGGAGGAAUGUGUGGUGUAGCGGUGAAAUGCAUAGAUAUCACACAGAACACCGAUUGCGAAGGCAUCUCACGAAUCCGUUAUUGACGCUGAGGCACGAAAGCGUGGGGAUCAAACAGGAUUAGAUACCCUGGUAGUCCACGCAGUAAACGAUGAUGACUAACCGCCGGCGAUACACAGUCGGUGGCCAAGCGAAAGCGAUAAGUCAUCCACCUGGGGAGUACGACCGCAAGGUUGAAACUCAAAGGAAUUGACGGGGGCCCGCACAAGCGGAGGAACAUGUGGUUUAAUUCGAUGAUACGCGAGGAACCUUACCCGGGCUCGAACGGCAGGGGAAUGGAUCAGAGAUGGUCCAGUCUUCGGACUCCUGUCGAGGUGCUGCAUGGUUGUCGUCAGCUCGUGCCGUGAGGUGUCGGCUCAAGUGCCAUAACGAGCGCAACCCUUGUCGUCAGUUACCAGCACGUAAUGGUGGGGACUCUGGCGAGACUGCCACCGCAAGGUGUGAGGAAGGGGGGGAUGACGUCAAAUCAGCACGGCCCUUACGUCCGGGGCGACACACGUGUUACAAUGGUGGGUACAGAGGGGUGCUACCUGGUGACAGGAUGCUGAUCUCGAAAACCCAUCUCAGUUCGGACUGGAGUCAGCAACCCGACUCCACGAAGCUGGAUUCGCUAGUAAUCGCGCAUCAGCCAUGGCGCGGUGAAUACGUUCCCGGGCCUUGCACACACCGCCCGUCAAG